ACACACUGAAAAAAAGGACGGAAAAUAUAUCUGGGCAAAGUUGGGAAUGGGAGAAAAAAGCAGAGUUUCAUCUUCUUCUUCCUAAAGAUAAUUUUACCCAUUUUCUAUGGUGGACAAAAACUAAACAACCUCAACCAAUCGGAACCCUCCAACACCACCCUACAUACUCACGCACAGCGGCAACACAACACCUCACUGCAAAGCUCCAAAAUCAGUUGCUAUUUUCUCCAUAGACCUGGAUCUUCGAACUCUAGCGUUACAACUCAUUCUUCAAGGAAUAACACAACAACAAAGCUAGCAAAUUCAGCAGUUGCAGCUUCCCUAUUUCCCUCUUAAUACAAUUCAAAAUAAUCACUAAUUUCACGUCAAAAAAAAAAUAUAUAUAUAUACACGUCGGAGUCGAUCCAAGUAAUACGCGGAGUUACGAGAUUUUCCAGUGAGUUUUCCUUGUUCUAGUCGCGGUUCGAUCGAAGCUACGAUCUAUCGAAGUUCUGUUUGCGCUCCGGAGAUGGGUCAUUUCAUGCAUAUCUAGAGCAUUGUUCCACUGUAUGCAAUAGAAAAGAAAAAUUAUCAAUAAAGGGAAACGCCUUGGUAAGGCGGCUUAGCUGAUCGGGCUGAUAUCGGAUGCCAUGACGCACACAUGGUGGUAUUGUGUUGAUAUUGAACCCCGGAUAAAAAGGGAAAAAUGAGAUUGUGAUUGAAGUGUAUGUCUCAAGUGAAGCAACCUAGCCCAUCGGGUCGAUAUCGGACUCCGCUCAAGCUAGCGGUGGUAUAGCGAACAAUGAUGAACAAUAUGAAAUGCCCCAAACUAAAGGCUAUGGAAACAUAAUGCGAAAAUUGUAUGAUUCUUCUACAUUGAUAACGUUGUGAUCGUUUAAAGCUUUUGAGUUAUACUUGUGCUUUCCUUAUGUUUGGUAUGAAAGUUCUAUCUAACUAGAUGAUGUUUAGUUUUACAUACUAGUACUAUUCCAUGGUACUAAUGUCCCUUUUGCCGGGGGCGCUACAUUUUUAAAUGAAUGUAAGUGGCUCAAUUGCGGAUAGUGUCGAUCGUGCGUAGCGGAGUACCUUCUUCUCAAAGUCUUGGUGAGCUCCUUUCUCCUUCAAGGGGUUAUAUUGCACAUCUUUUGUUGUGGACUUCCACUUUUGAGGUAUAGCCGGGGCCUUGUUGUCGGCAUUGUCAUACUUGUCUUUUACAUCUUUAGAGGCUCCAUAGACAUAUGUGUGGGUGAUAUACGAGUUUUGGGUGGGUCUACGAACUAUGUUGUAAUUCUAACUCUUUCAUCUCUAAAGUGUAAUUGUAUGGAAUCUUCGAACUUAACUAGGGCUUAACGUUGUGAUAUAAAAUGAACUAACAAUGUUGAAUGUA